rnacentral:rRNA from 1 species
AGAGUUUGAUCCUGGCUCAGAUUGAACGCUGGCGGCAUGCUUUACACAUGCAAGUCGAACGGUAACAGGCCGCAAGGUGCUGACGAGUGGCGAACGGGUGAGUAAUGUAUCGGAACGUGCCCAGUCGUGGGGGAUAACGCAGCGAAAGCUGCGCUAAUACCGCAUACGAUCUAUGGAUGAAAGCGGGGGACCGUAAGGCCUCGCGCGAUUGGAGCGGCCGAUAUCAGAUUAGGUAGUUGGUGGGGUAAAGGCUCACCAAGCCAACGAUCUGUAGCUGGUCUGAGAGGACGACCAGCCACACUGGGACUGAGACACGGCCCAGACUCCUACGGGAGGCAGCAGUGGGGAAUUUUGGACAAUGGGCGCAAGCCUG